AAGGACUGUGCUCCCAAUCCGCUUACGCUCAAGGAAGAACUGGUUGUUCACCACGGAGGGAUGCUCCACUGAGGGGGUGAAGCUGUAUGCCUGAAGGGCUGUGUCUACCUAGACGGACAUUCUCUUUCUAAUUGUGACAGAGGCCCUUUAUAGAUUAGCAGUGGCCCUGUGUAUUUCGGGAACUAAAGGGAAAUGGAAAGAUGUUCACAAAAUCUGUCCCACAGGUCAGCCCUAGGUGCAGCUGCAACCUGAGGGACUUGUCCUGGGAUCAGACAUUUUGAGGACUUUCUUGACCCUUGGCUGAUAUCCUUGCAGGCAGGACCUGCAGCUAAGCAAGACGUAGGACUGCAAGCUGGGUUGGCACCCUCCCCCUAGGGAGUUCUCCAGGCCUUGCCCCCUCUGUCCCCAGCCUGGAAGCCCUCCCUGGUACCAUACCCCAGCCGAUGAGUAUGUACCCCCAGAAGUACUUCCGCUCAGAGAAGAAGGAGACGGCAAGCAGGGUGUACAGGUAGAGGCCCUCCACCAGCAGCCAGAAGAAGUUAGCCAUGACACAAUAUUGGAAAAAGACCAUGGCUGCCUUACAGCCCACCUGCAGGGGGAGGAGAAAAGACGGGGUUCACUGGGGCUGUCAAGGGUCCUUGACUGCCCACACU
rnacentral:lncRNA from 10 species